GAAUCUCCCGCGUUGGCAACAUACACCAAUCCAUUACAUAUCACUCCCAUCAGACAGCAUGACCCAACUGAAGCCAGCUUUGGGUUCCUGAUCCACUGUUUCUUCACCAUGACUAGUGUUAGUGCCUGAACAUAUUCAAGAACGAGGGAAAAAGAGAGGGAGAACGAGAGGCGGUGCCUUACUCUUUAUCUUAGGGAAGAUCUUGUCACCGAUGAAUCUGGAAGCUUCAGGACCUCCGUGGCCAUCGUACACACCAACGAGCGUGCCCUGAAACGCCGGGUCGUUGAAGUUCAACGGUCCUGAUUCAAUAUGGCAUUGAUCCUCCAUCACACCGUUGGCUUGUAUCAUAGCCAUGGAAAAUUCACCAAAGGCAUGAAGGCCAAGAUCCUUAAACCAUGUCAAGCCAUCAACUUUCCCGGUUUUUGAUGUGAGGACUUGGAACUUGAAGAUGAAGGAAGAGGGACUUAUAUAAGGGAGUAGAAAACUCUACGUACAAGCUUAAAGAGGACGAGGCCAAAAGGGUAUGGGUGAAACUACCGAAAAAGUAAUUCGUGGGGUGAGACAAGACAAGAAAGACAGUAAGUUUAAGCAAGUAAAUGGUUGAGAAUUUUGUCAGUCAUACUGGAGGACGUAGGAGAAGAAAUGCAUGUGUAAGUAAGAGAGAAGGAGAUGGAUGUACCUUGAACGUAGGCAAUGGCAAGAGAGCAUGACAUAAGAAGAAGAAGAGACCAUAAAUGUAUGUAUGUACACGAUUAGCUGUCCAAACUUAUAAAACAUGUUUUUUCUUUUGCCGGGUC